GACGAACGCUGGCGGCGUGCUUAACACAUGCAAGUCGAACGAUGAACCGGAGCUUGCUCCGGGGAUUAGUGGCGAACGGUGAGUAACACGUGGGCAACCUGCCCCAGACACCGGGAUAACCUUCCGAAAGGAUGGCUAAUACCGGAUACGACCACUUCGGGCAUCCGACGGUGGUGGAAAGGAUUCUGGUCUGGGAUGGGCCCGCGGCCUAUCAGCUUGUUGGUGGGGUAAUGGCCUACCAAGGCGACGACGGGUAGCCGGCCUGAGAGGGCGACCGGCCACACUGGGACUGAGACACGGCCCAGACUCCUACGGGAGGCAGCAGUGGGGAAUAUUGCGCAAUGGGCGAAAGCCUGACGCAGCGACGCCGCGUGAGGGACGAAGGUCUUCGGAUUGUAAACCUCUUUCAGCAGGGACGAAGCGAAAGUGACUGUACCUGCAGAAGAAGCACCGGCUAACUACGUGCCAGCAGCCGCGGUAAU
rnacentral:rRNA from 1 species